GAAUCUGUGAGCUAGGGACUUCCCUGGUGGUCCAGUGGGUGGAACUCCACGCUUCCGAUGCGGGGGGCCGGGGUUCAAUCCCUGGUCGGGGGAACUAGAUCCCACAUGCAUGCUGCGACUAAGAGUUCGCAUGCCGCAACUCAGCAUGCUGCAGUGAAGGUCCUGCAUGCCAAAAUAAAUAAAUGUUAAAAAAAAAAAUAAUCUGUGAGCUAGAUCCAAAGUCCGUCUGCUUGAUGAUUACAGCUACAGCUAAAGGGUCCCAAUGCAGCCAACCUCAUAAGAGAGAGAAUUGAAUGGUCAGGGUCCAGGCUUCUGCUUGAAGGUAACCUCCUGGGCUACCCAGGGCUGAGUGAAGGCACCCCUCCUUCCCGUGCCUCAGGAGAAGGGUGGUCAGGAGAGGCUUCUCUGCAAAAAUGAGGCUGGAGAAGAAAUCUGAAAUUAGGCAGUGAGGAAGGGAAGAGCUACCAAGCAGACAGAACUGUACGUGCAAAGGCCCUGUGGUAGAAAGGAGCUGGGCUUGUUCAUGGAAGGAAAUAGACUCCUAUGUCAGGAACCCAGAGAGAGAAGGUGAGUGAUGAAGCAGGACACUGAUUGGUGCUUCUAAAAUGUUCCCCCCUCCCUCCCCUUUAGUUGGGCUGGACCUAGUGACUUGUUUAUAACAAAUAGAAUGAGAUAGCAAUGGGAUGCCACCUCCAAGAUUAGGUUAUAAAAGACCUCUUGCUCCCACUCUGUCUCUGGUUUUCUCACUUGCUUGUUCCGAUGAAGCAAGCUGCCAUAUUGUAAGCUGCCCUACGGAGAAGCCCUCGUGGCAAGAAACUGAGGAAGCUUCCGGCCAACAGCCAGCAAGGAGCUAAAUCCUGCCAACAACCGCAUGAGUGAGCUUGGAAGCAGAUCGACCCUGAGUUGAGCCUUGAAAUGACUGCAGCCUCAUCGGAUAACUUGGUUGCAGCCUUGUGAGAAGCCCUGAGCCAGAGGACCCCAGCUUCUCACAGAGGACACCCACAUUCCUGACCCACAGGAACUGUGACAUAAUAAACCCGUGUUGUUUUCUGAGUCACUAAGUUUGGGGGUCAUUUGUUACACAGUGAUAGAGAACUAAUGCAGCUGAUAAGGUAGGUAGGUGGGAGAUAAUGCAAACUAUUUUCGAUUUCAGUGGUCAGUCUUAGGGUUUUUAGUAAAUUCUCCGCAUGGAACUUGUGUGUAAUUCACCUAAGCUUCUGACUCUGAACCUUUCUGAUUCAUUAAAUCUAGGUAGCAUUUGAAGUUGGAUGUAAGCUAAUGCUAGAUUUUCUAACAUGGAAGCGGUAGGGGGCAACAGGAGGUUGGAAGGGAGACAGGAACUCACCUUUGCUGACAACCUAUGGAGGACCAGGUUCUCAAGAUGCUUUUGGUUCCUGGGGAAAUAUUCCCAGCGUUGACCUAGGCAGCCCUUUCCAGUGAAAUUGAAGAAGCUUUGAAUCGGCUAUGGAAGGGACAACAUUCUCCCAUUUCUCCUUAUUAAUAGAACCCCUAUAUUAUUGGGGGGUCCACUCACCCAGUCCAUUUCCCAGCCUCCCUGGCUGUAGGGGGAGCCAAUAAGCUAUAAGCAGAAAUCAUUGGAUGGAGUUUCUGGUAGGUUUUUGUUUGUUUGUUUGUGUUUAAAAUUUUUAAAUGCUGACUCAUCUGAGAGGUGCACACUCUUAUACUUCUCUUUCUCCUUGCUGGUGCCUGGAAUGGUGGCAUGAUGGCUGGUGCUCUGGCAGCACUUAUGACCAUGCAAUGACCUUCACAGUGGAAGCCACACUGUUGAUGGCUGAGCACAAUUUUGGUAAGCCACAGCUGUCCACGUAGCUCUAAGGCGGAUUAUUUUGGAGGAUGGUGAAAAUGCGGCACACAGCAAAGGAGGGAAAAUCACUAUCAUAAAAUAGCGUCAAAGCAAUAAAUGCAGAUCAUGGGACUCAUGAGGACGACAACCCAACAGUGUCCAUGAAUAUUCGAUCAGCGCAUUCUGGGAACCUCCUCUGAGCUCUGGGAAGCCCUGACAAUUAGCAGCCUUCUGCCGGACUUCUUAAUGUCCAAAGGAAAUCAGCACAGGCAACUUCUCCAAGAUUUCAAUUUGCCCUCAAAUUUCAGCCCCAAGCCUCAAUAACUUCUCUGUUCCUCACUCCCUCCAUUUCAAAGGAGAGUUGGAGAGACACACCUGCCUUUGGCUUCUUUUUGUGAAAGUUAAAGCAAAUGCCCAGGGCACAGGUCUUUUCUCUUCACAAGGAAGAGGAAAGGAAGAGCGGGCUUUGUAAAAAUCAUUCCCCAGGCACUGAGAUUGCUGCUAAAGCUUGAAGGUCACCUGUGUUGUUAUGAAUGUUAUUUUUUUUCCAUAAACCUGAACUGAAUUGUAGUUCAGACAAAACAAUGUCUGCCUCAAAACAAAACAAACCUAAACCUGUAAGCCACGAGAUAUAGGGUGGGGGCAGGGGGAGGGGGUACAAGGAGGCACAGGCUUUGAACCCAGACGGACUUUAGUUUGAUUCCCAGCUCUGCCAAGCACUGGCCCCAAGUCCUCGACCACAUCACUGCACAUCUCUGGACCUCUGUCUUCUCAUCCGAAAAACAGGGACAACACUGUCUACCUCAAUGAUUCUUUGUCAGAGCCUUUGACCAAAAUGAGAUGAUAUAUGAAAAGCCCCGGACACAGAAGCACAAUCAAUAAGAGUUUUCAUUAAGUGUGACUGCCACCAUGGGGUCAUCAAUCCCCCCGCAGCAUUUAAAGCAGAGUUCCAGGAUGGUUCUGCUGCUACGAGGAACCUUGAAAAAUCCCUGAACCUCUAAACCUCAUUUUCCAGAUAAGGAGACUGAGGCCCAGAGAGGUAAAUUAGAAUGGAAGUAGGGGGGCAAAAAGCUGGAAAUGUCACAGAAAGUCUGUUCCAGGGCCAGUACUGCUGACUCAAGGGGCUGGAGAGGGACAGACAAGAUGAUAAGGAUUUUCAAAACUUAUUUACAAAGCCACGCCCACAACCUCGACACCGGUGACGUCAGUGCCUCACUCAAGUGCCCCAGUGAUCCCACCGCAGGAUUUGCAGCGGGGUUCAAGGCUGUGGGCGGACUGACUGGUCAGCAGAAGGGGUCCUUUAGGUCAGUUCCCUUGCCGUGAAGUGAAAAUAAUACCUCCAUCUCAGGCUAGGCGUAAAGACAAAUACUAUACAGAAUAAAAUAGCUGCUAACUCAUCUGAGUGGCAGGCACUGUGCCGACUGCACCCCAAACAUUCGCCAUUGGUCCCCAACAGCCACAGGAGGCAGGAGGCAGUCAUUUCCUCUCAUUUGACAGAUGGAGAAGCUGAGGCUUGUGGAGAUGAAAUAACCCACUCAAGGUCACAUAGCUUGUGGAGAUGAAAUAACCCACUCAAGGUCACAUAGCUUGUGGAGAUGAAAUAACCCACUCAAGGUCACACAGCUGCUAAGUGGAAGGAAGAGUGGGCCUUGACCACAGUCUGUCUGUCAGAUUCCUGAUUUCUGUGCUCUUACUCACGGCACUGUUCUGGACACAGCUGGUGGGCCCUCGGUAAGUGGCCACCACAACCAGCAGUGACAGGGGACAGCUCUGCCACCCCAGAAGGAAAGGAAGGCCACUGACACGCAGACCCUUGUACCCAAAUUGUUUGGGUCUAGCAGCAGACUGUUACUGAGUCCAAGCUCAUAUUACUUGCCUCAGGACAGGCCAAUAAAUCGAGAGACGAGGUGUUGGGGCAGGGAAUGUUGACUUUAUCUGGAAAGCCAGCAAACAGAGAAGAUGAUGGACCCGUGUCCCAAAGAACCAUCUUUCCUGAGUUAGAAUUCAGGCUUCUUUUAUGCCAAAAGGGGAGGGGUGUGGCUGAUUGUUGCAAACUUUUGGGUGCUGGAAUUCUUUGCUCUUACAGCUGUCCAUGCAGGUGUGGUCACAAUGUUCCUAUAAACUUCCAAUGAGACAAAUGUUAUUCUCUGUUCUGCCACUUUUUAUCUCUAUAUGAAUGCAAAAAUGUUGUUCCUUUAAAGGUCAGAGCCUUGAGAAUGGGCUACCUUGUAUUUUUCAGGCUAUUGGCAACAUUCUUAACUUGUAGCAAAAGCAAUAGAAUGCAAAGGUUAAAGUAAAAGAAACAGAUCCAAUAUGGAGUCAGAUUUGUUCUUCCCUAUUACAGUCCAUCCUUCCUAACACCUCUGAGUGGACUGGCUGGGAGGGACAAUGGAAGGACAGGCUUCUUGCCUCCUGUCUUAGGCGGCUAGGGCUGCCACACAAACCACCACAGACUGGGGAGCUCAAACAAUAGAAGUUUAUUUCCUCACAAUUCUACAGGCUAGAAGUCCAAGGUCAAGGUGUCAGCAGGGUUGGUUUCUUCUUGUAGAGGGUCGCCUUCUCCCUGUGCCUUCGAAUGGGCUUCCCUCUGUUGUCUCUGUCCUUACUUCCUCUCUUUAUACGGCCAUCGGUCAUAUUGGAACGCAUUUUAACCUAGUUACCUCCGUAAAGACCCUAUCUCCAAAUACAGUCACAGUCUGGUACUAGGGGUUUCUUGUCCGUCUCCUCCAUUAAAACGUCAGAUUCACGAAGACAGAAAUUUCAGUUUGUCCCAACUGUAUCCCCAGCACUAAAAAUGGCACCUGGGUCAGGGGAUGGGGCAGUGGAGGGAGGGAGAAAUAGUUGGAGCACAGGGGAUUCUGAGGUCAGUGAAACUAGUCUAUGUGAUACAUGUCAUUAGGCAUUUGUUCAAACCCAGAGAAUGCACAACACAAAAAGUGAAUCCUAGUAUAAACUACUGACUUUAGUUAAUAAUAACGUAUCAAUAUUGGCUCAUCAAUUGUAACAAGUGUACCUCACUAAUGCAAGACAUUAAUAAUAGGAGAAAUGGGGUUCGAGGGUUUAGAGCAGUCUGUAUUUUCCACUCAUUUUUCUGUAAACCUAAAACUGCUCAAGAAAUAAAGUUUAUUAAUUAAAAAAAAAGAACAACACAUACCUAGCACAUCGUAGGUAUCCAGUAAAUCUGUGCUGAUGACUGAAAGAACCAUCUGGUCAGCCUGAAUUUAUGGAGGUUUACUCCACACCUAACAUGGUGAUGUGAGAAACCUAG